rnacentral:rRNA from 1 species
GAGUUUGAUCUUGGCUCAGAUUGAACGCUGGCGGCAUGCCUAACACAUGCAAGUCGAACGGCAGCACGGGAGCUUGCUCCUGGUGGCGAGUGGCGAACGGGUGAGUAAUGCAUCGGAACGUAUCCUGGAGUGGGGGAUAACGUAGCGAAAGUUACGCUAAUACCGCAUAUUCUGUGAGCAGGAAAGCGGGGGACCCUCGGGCCUCGCGCUCUUGGAGCGGCCGAUGUCGGAUUAGCUAGUUGGUGAGGUAAAGGCUCACCAAGGCGACGAUCCGUAGCAGGUCUGAGAGGAUGAUCUGCCACACUGGAACUGAGACACGGUCCAGACUCCUACGGGAGGCAGCAGUGGGGAAUUUUGGACAAUGGGGGCAACCCUGAUCCAGCCAUGCCGCGUGAGUGAAGAAGGCCUCGGUUGUAA